rnacentral:rRNA from 1 species
CCUACGGGAGGCAGCAGUGGGGAAUAUUGGGCAAUGGAGGCAACUCUGACCCAGCAACGCCGCGUGAAUGAUGAAGGUCUUCGGAUGGUAAAGUUCUGUGAUGGGGGAUGAACACAAUGACGGUACCCCAAUAGCAAGCCACGGCUAACUACGUGCCAGAAGCCGCGGUAAUACGUAGGUGGCAAGCGUUAUCCGGAAUGACUGGGCGUAAAGGGAGCGUAGGUGGUGUAGUAAGUUGGCGGUGUAAUUCCGGGGCUCAACCUCGGCGCUACCGCCAAAACUAUUAGACUAGAGUGCAGGAGGGGUAAGUGGAAUUCCCAGUGGAGCGGUGGAAUGCGGAGAUAUUAGGAGGAACAUCAGGGGCGAAGGCGACUUACUGGACUGUAACUGACACUGAGGCACGAAAGCGUGGGGAGCAAACAGGAUUAAAUACCCUUGUAGUC